UGUGAGAGUGAUGAGUUGCACUGAAAAGUUGGCGUGUGGUUGCAGUGGCAACAGCACCCCAACCCGAACCACCCUGGGGACACACCACGUGCACAGGGGCCAUCUGACUCAAC
ensembl:snoRNA